rnacentral:rRNA from 1 species
AUUGAACGCUGGCGGCAGGCCUAACACAUGCAAGUCGAACGAGUGGCGGACGGGUGAGUAAUGUCUGGGAAACUGCCUGAUGGAGGGGGAUAACUACUGGAAACGGUAGCUAAUACCGCAUACCAUCAGAUGUGCCCAGAUGGGAUUAGCUAGUUGGUGGGGUAACGGCUCACCAAGGCGACGAUCCCUAGCUGGUCUGAGAGGAUGACCAGACACCCGGGAACUGAGACACGGUCCAGACUCCGACGGGAGGCAGCAGUGGGGAAUAUUGCACAAUGGGCGAAAGCCUGAUGCAGCAAUGCCGCGUGAAGGAAGAAGGUCUUCGGUUUGUAAAGUACUGUCAGCGGGGAGGCGGUACCCGAAGAAGAAGCCACGGCGAACUCCGUGCCAGCCGCCGCGGUAAUAC